GGAUCGAUAGGCCACGCUUUCGCGGUCUGUAUUAGUACUGAAAAUCAAGAUCAAGUGGGCUUUUGCCCUUUUGCUCUACGAGAGGUUUCCGUCCCCUCUGAGCACACCUUAGGACACCUACGUUACGUUUUGAUAGAUGUACCGCCCCAGUCAAACUCCCGGCCUGACACUGUCUUCGGUCCGAGUCGUCAAGGCACCGAGUGCCGAGACUUAACACCAGAAGGAAGGAGAACGAGCUCCAAUCCUCGCAUUACCGAAUAAGUAAAGAAUCGAUGAAAGUAGUGGUAUUUCAAUUGCGACCGAAGUCUCCCACUUAUACUACGUCUCUCAAGACUCGUCACAGAGUCAAACUAGAGUCAAACUCAACAGGGUCUUCUUUCCCCGCUGUUUUUUCCAAGCCCGUUCCCUUGGCUGUGGUUUCGCUAGAUAGUAGAUAGGGACAGUGGGAAUCUCGUUAAUCCAUUCAUGCGCGUCACUAAUUAGAUGACGAGGCAUUUGGCUACCUUAAGAGAGUCAUAGUUACUCCCGCCGUUUACCCGCGCUUAAGCAGAUUACUCCACGUUAACAUUCAGAGCACUGGGCAGAAAUCAGAGAUAGUCAACGUCCGCAAGGACCAUCUACUGAAACUUAAAGGAAUUGACGGAAGGGCACCACCAGGAGUGGAGCCUGCGGCUUAAUUUGACUCAACACGGGAAAUCUCACCCGGACCGGACACUAUAAUGAUUGACAGAUUGAUAGUUCUUUCUUGAUUUGGUGGUUGGUGGUGCAUGGCCGUUCUUAGUUCGUGGAUUGAUCUGUCUGGUUUAUUCCGAUAACGAACGAGACUCUAACCUGCUAACUAGUGGUGCGAUAGUUUGGUCGUAUCUACUUCUUAGAGGGAUAAGCGGUGUUCAACCGCAUGAGAUUGAGUAAUAACAGGUCUGUGAUGCCCUUAGAUGUUCGGGGCUGCACGCGCGCUACACUGGAAAGUGCAGCAAGCGUUUUUAACCUUGGCCGAAAGGUCUGGGUAAUCUUUUGAAAGCUUUUCGUGUUUGGAAUAGAGGAUUGAAAUUAUUUCUCUUGAACGAGGAAUUCCCAGUAAGUAUGAGUCAUUAGCUCAUGCUGAUUACGUCCCUGCCCUUUGUACACACCGCCCGUCGCUGCCCGGGACUGAGUUGCCUCGAGAAAUGCGGGGACUUUCGGCGUUGAGUUUCUCUUCGCUGAUGGGAACCGCAUUAAUCGCAGUGGCUUGAACCGGGCAAAAGUCGUAACAAGGUGCGAUUAGGAGAACCUGACCGCG
rnacentral:rRNA from 1 species